GCAGGGUUAAUUCGAUUUAACGCUGCUAAAUUCGAAUUAAAUUCAGUGUAGACCAGGCCUCAGAGUCCAGCACUGACGGGAGUUUAUAUUGAAACCUUUUUGUAGGUGCCACUUCUGAGUUUGCCUCUGUGGGGCACACAACCUGUAUUGGGACUAUACAGGAUACCUAUACUAUACGACACCUCCAGCAGCUGCCACUAAGGCAGUGCACCCCCGCAGUCCCCACCCUAAUGUUGCUGUGGCUGCAAAAGCACACUCCUCUCCUUUAAUUGCCACCCUUGUGUUUAAGUCCUAGGCCCUUUGAGGCUUUCUUCAGCUUCAUUUGACCUUAAAGUUAUUUUAAAUUUGUAUUUCGUGUUUAUUCGUACGAUGUGUAAAGAUUUCUAAGAUGGGAAAAAGUGAGUUGUUAUGAUUUUAUUUUGGCAUCCCUUUUAACCAGUUUAAUUUCCUGUAGUCAGUCACUCUGACAUUUGAUCCCUGACCAGAUCCCUCAGUCUGUGUAUUAACAUGGGAAACCACGGCACUCCAAGUUUCAGUGCUGACAUUUAAGAAUUUGUUGUGUCUAGUUCUUGAUUGUGCAGUCUAAAAGAGAUCCUUAGAUGGCAAUAUUGAUAAAUCUUCAAGUUCUGGCUUUGAAAAGUUAUAAUUAUGCAAAACUACUAAAGGAGAGAGUUCCACAAACUGCCAUGAACAUCAUAAUCCCAUUUGCAUUGACAAUAAUUAUCAAGAUACAUUUUACAAAGGAAAAUCCAAUGUCUGGAGCCAACAAGUUACCAAAAAAGAGCAUCUUGCUUCAAUAGUUAAUUAAAUCAGCUAUUCCAAAAGAUUUGUAUCUGACAUACAUUCUUAGGGUUAUCUCAUGUAUGAAUCUCUGUAGGUAUCUUGUUUUAUUCUCCUGAUGGGCUCCAAACAUCUGAUGGGGGAAGACCUUAAAAGUUUGUGUUCUUUAUUCACUGGUACUUUUAUCAGAACAUUACAUGAAGAUUAGAACACAGAUAGAUUACUGAGGAUAAAGAAAUAAAAUGUCCAUCACAGAGGGAUUUAAUGACUCUGGGGACUGGUACUAUGAUAUAGGUACAGCCUUUUGCCAUUAGGUAAUUGGUUAGAAUCCAGCCCAUGUUGCUAGUGACUGGAAGUCAUUACUAGAUGAUGUAUUUUUAGUGGCCUAUGUGAAAUGAGUUGGUGAUCUCAGUCCAGUUCCUAGCUAGGCAGUAGUCUGUAUCACACAAAUGACCCUUUCCUGCUUUUUGCAGAUCCUUUCCUACUUUUAACAUCCCUAUUUUACAGAUGGAAAAAAUGAGGCACAGAAAGGUUAGCAAGUUAAUGCAGAGACCAAGAAUAUGACCCAUAAGUGCUGGCUCACAAUUCCUUCCUCCAGAAACCACACCUUCAAAUUUUCCCUUUUCCUUUCUCCAAAACAUGUCUGUCCAUUAACCAUGCCCCCUCCAUCACCAGAUCAAGAGUGCAAUUCCCGCAGCUGAUCACAUAAAAGCUCUUCAAAUGUGUUAUUCUGAAAUGAAUGAAGGAUGCUACCUGUCUUGAAAAUUGGAGAUGGUCCUGAUUUUGGAACAUUUUGCACUCUUUUCGUAAAAGGGAAGUUCCAAUAAAGAAUGGAAUGGAAUGGAAGGUGGGGGUGGAGGGAAGGCAAAUAUUUAGAUUUCAUCUCAUAGCAUUUAAAAUCUUGUGGUCUGAUCCUCAGCUGGUGUAAAUAAAUACAGCUCUUUUAAGGACAAUGGAUCGAUUUAUGCCAGAUAACUAUCUAGCUCCUGAAUAGGUGGGUGGACUACGCUCUCCUUUUCACCUCAAGUUCUCGUAAGCCCUUUUGUAACGAGUAAUCUUUUUAUUUUUGCUGUAUGUUUUCAAAAGGAUGACAACUAAUAUGCUUGAAUCAGUAACUUUAAAAUAGAGGCUGAAAAUGAAUAUUUUAAUAUGUCUUUCACACUUUGAGCCAAUUCAUAAUGUGCAUGAUGUCUUGGAAUACUUUGAUAAGCAUGUGUCUGAUUAUAAAAAAACCUAUGUCUGAUUUGUGAAGCAUAGUAAUCCAUCAGACAGCCACCCACUCCAUAAUUUCCUAUAGAAAUAUGUACAAGUGCACUACUUAUGUAUGGGACACAGUCAUAGAUUUGUCAUGGGUUGAUUAGUAAAUACAGAGUGACAGUGCUAAAGCACAUAUUCCAUCAGCAUGGAACUGUGGAAAGAAGAAUUAUUUAUUAUUAUUCUAAGAUGUUAUUUGUGCCUGGCACAACCAGUGACAGACUUGUUCCCUUUUUUCUCUUAUGAUUAUCAGUCAAUAAAAGAAAAACAAGCCUGCUUGUUCUGUAUUAACUGGCAAAUCUAUCAUGACAUUUUAAGUAUACCAUGACAUGUCCAUAUUGGGGCAUUCAGUUGCCUUGCCAUAUAAUUAAAUACACAAAUGAAACUGUCCUGUAAUUUUUAAAUCCUAGAAAUUAAGCAUUCCCCGAGGGGAGAAUUGGGUGUGCUACUAGAAUUCUAAUCUAUUCUGUUUUCAUUACACCAUAUAAGUAGGCAUAUAAAUUGAAUUAUGAUGGGUUGAAGACUGGUAAGUAUUUCUAAGGAGCCAAUGGCUCUGAGUGUAUCAAAUAAUUUUAGAAGACAGAAAAAAUAUUGCAUUUUUCUAUUAAAUAUUCAACAGGUGGUCCAAGAUGCUGCUAGUAGGGUGAAUGCUAAACGAUUCACCCCAUGCAGGGUGUUAUCAGCUUGUUAUAUUGCCCUCAUUUUAAAGAUGGGUACACUGAGGCAGAGAAGUGACUUGUAAGUAGCUACACAGUGAGCCACCAGUGAAGACUUGAGCAGUACUGACAGGGUCCUAAGCCUCGCUCCCAUCCUUAUUCCUUUAGGUUGUACUGUCUCUCAAGCAGAUAUACUGUCUAGCAGACAGCGGAAGAGAAGAACAGCACUGAGAAGAGAAUCUCUGAGGACAGGAAUGUUGGCAGCAGGCCCAGUUACUCAAUGUGCACUCAGUGCACUUGCACAAGGCCCCAUCUUGGGCCAGGAAAGGGGCGGGGCAUCAUAGGGGGUGAGGGGCAGAGGAGGGCUCAUUCUGCCUCGUGUGGCAAAGCCCACAGGCUGGAGCAGGGAACCAGACCAGACCUAUGGGACAGGAGCCUGUGGGUGAUUGCAGCCAGGCAGGCUCACUUUCCAACACCUCAGGGGCUCCCACCCUGUGGGGCAGGACCUUACUGUCUCCCAUCCCCCCAGGGGCAAGGAAGGUGUGCAGAGGCCCAAUUUCCAUUGUGCAUAGGCCCCAAAAUUCUUUAAUCCGGGCGCUGGCUGGCAGGAGGCCUGUGGAAAGAAGGGCCGAUGGAAGGGUGGAGUUACUGUGAUGCACUGAUGGUAAGCUUAAAGCACAGGAUACAGUGGAUGUCCAAAAGCAUCUAGAUUUGUUAUAGAAUCAAAAGGAAAACAAAUAGACAUAACUAAUUUUAAUACAGCAGGCUCUGUAAAACUCAUAAGAUCGGGAUUCCUGGCCCUCUACAAGACAGGAAUUCAAUCAUCUUUCCUAAGAGCUACUUCCUAUGGGAUUCCUUAAUCACUUUUGAACUCCCCAGUGUGGGGCCAAACUGCAAUAGGAACCUCUCCCAGCAUGCUUUCCAGGUAGCUGGCCCUUUACAUUUGGGAGCAACAAGCAGCUGUAGUCCUAAAAUGGCCAUUAUAUGUUUGACUGCUGAAGGCGAACACCUCUUUUCCUUCCGGAGGUAAGUAUCUUUUUUUUCUCCUUUUCUAAUUCUUGAAGAGAUGGUUUGUCCCCAGAGUUACCUGCCACCACCUUGUUAACAACUAGGUUUUAAACCUUAGACAUCAGUUAAUCAAAGUUUCCCCUCCCCCUGAAUUCAGAAGAAAGGUACAACUUCAUUGCUCUAAGGUCUAACAGCUGUUCUGAGUUUUUCCAUGCUUUAUUUUUCAAGGAAUUUAUUUCAGAAUUAGAAAUAACUGGUGAUAUUAGUAGGGAGGCUGCAGAAAACAAAGCAGAAGAAAGGCCAUGCUACAUCAUCCCCUCUGUUGAUGCAGAGGCUGGUGGAUCUCACAUAUAAGCUCAAAUUUCCAGGGGGAACACAAAGGGAGAGAGAGACUAGACUGGGGAUUAAAGUGAAUCUUAAUUCAGGAGCAUCACUGAAGGUUAAAACCCAGGGAGCUCUUUUUCAGCCAGCAGGUUGUUGAAUCUGAAAUUGAAAAUAAAAAUCUCCUUUUUUCCCCUUUUGAACUUUGGUUUAAAAAACAUCAGAACACCUUUUUUUCUAUUGAUUGUUUUUGUCCACAGCCCAGUGACUGCAGGCUCCAAAACUUGGGUUUUCUCUCACCCCAUUAAAACAAGUGUGUCCUGAGCCCCUCAACUUCAGCAACCUAAGCAAAAUGGAAGGCUUUAAGGAUUUCAUCCAGAGACGUUUCUAGGGUGCUUUUCUCAAAUUUAAAUCUAUGAAAUCUCACUCACCCAGGUGGAAAAGACCCAUAGCCUCUGAAAUUAUAUAAAACAAGCUUUUAUGAUGGACUUCAUGUUACUUUAAUGGUGGUGAAUGUAGCUGGCUGAACACCCCUUGAGACUGAAGCCCCCACUUUGCUACCAGGACACUUACAGCUCAGUGGGUUCACAAGGUUGCAGACCUGUAUGUGGUGUCUUCCUGCUUAGAGAGGUGUCUACAGGCACUGUGCAGCCAAUCAGCACUUGAAGCUGUGGUUCUGCCUACCAGGGAAAGGUAAGAGAGUGUAUAUUAGUGCUUUCCAGUAAUAAAUAAUAGUUAGCAUUUAUAAAGCACUUUAUGGAACCAAACCGUAAGGUAAAUUGGUUGGUGAGAUUUUAUUAACUGCAUGAGCAUCCUUCUCAGGCUGAUUCAAAUUGAGUUGCACCAGUUUAAGCCUUUGCUGAAUUAGACCUCAAAACGCUCUACAAACAUUAUAGUUUAAGAUUAGAAAAAAGUGAAAUGUCUCAGAUAUAUGAUAAGCCUUCUAGAUGGGCUUCCUAUUGCAUACACUCAUGGCAUCUCAGAUGGAGGGGUGCUUGGAUGUCUGGACCAUCCUAAGGUAAAAUUAUGAGAAGAUGGCAGGCAGGAUUUACCAUGAGUUUGGGAUAGACUUGUGGAGUGAUUUGCG